rnacentral:rRNA from 1 species
AACGAACUCUGGCGGCAGGCUUAACACAUGCAAGUCGAGCGCCCCGCAAGGGGAGCGGCAGACGGGUGAGUAACGCGUGGGAAUCUACCCAUCUCUACGGAAUAACGCAUGGAAACGUGUGCUAAUACCGUAUACGUCCUUCGGGAGAAAGAUUUAUCGGAGAUGGAUGGGCCCGCGUUGGAUUAGCUAGUUGGUGGGGUAAAGGCCUACCAAGGCGACGAUCCAUAGCUGGUCUGAGAGGAUGAUCAGCCACACUGGGACUGAGACACGGCCCAGACUCCUACGGGAGGCAGCAGUGGGGAAUAUUGGACGAUGGGCGCAAGCCUGAUCCAGCCAUGCCGCGUGAGUGAUGAAGGCCCUAGGGUUGUAAAGCUCUUUCACCGGUGAAGAUAAUGACGGUAACCGGAGAAGAAGCCCCGGCUAACUUCGUGCCAGCCGCCGCUGUAAAAC